UACAGGAUAAGUGGAAUAAAGCAGUGGACGAGUGGAACAAACUUCUCCCAAAUGUGUUCUUGGAUAAGAAGGAUUUCUUUAUUGAAACUAUUCAGCUGGACUAUAGUAAGAAGAAGACUGAAAACCCCAUCAACAAAGAAUGUGACAAGGAUGCUGGAGCAAGGCUGGACCCCAUCAAAAAUGUCUAUUUCUACAGGAAGAGAAACCCCACUGAUGGCAU